GACGAACGCUGGCGGCGUGCUUAACACAUGCAAGUCGAACGGAAAGGCCCUGCUUUUGUGGGGUGCUCGAGUGGCGAACGGGUGAGUAACACGUGAGUAACCUGCCCUUGACUUUGGGAUAACUUCAGGAAACUGGGGCUAAUACCGGAUAGGAGCUCCUGCUGCAUGGGGGGGGUUGGAAAGUUUCGGCGGUUGGGGAUGGACUCGCGGCUUAUCAGCUUGUUGGUGGGGUAGUGGCUUACCAAGGCUUUGACGGGUAGCCGGCCUGAGAGGGUGACCGGCCACAUUGGGCCUGAGAUACGGCCCAGACUCCUACGGGAGGCAGCAGUGGGGAAUAUUGCACAAUGGGCGGAAGCCUGAUGCAGCAACGCCGCGUGCGGGAUGACGGCCUUCUGGUUGUAAACCGCUUUCGCCUGUGACGAAGCGUGAGUGACGGUAAUGGGUAAAGAAGCACCGGCUAACUACGUG
rnacentral:rRNA from 1 species